UUCUUAUUCCUUCAGUUCGAAAUUACUCGUCCAAAAAAUGAAUGUAUCUAGAUGUAUUUUAGUUGUAGAUACAUCCAUUUUUAUGACAAGUAAUUCCGAACGGAGGGAGUAUUAU
rfam:Triticum aestivum genome assembly, contig: Triticum_aestivum_CS42_TGACv1_scaffold_130031_2BL